GUGUUGGCGCUUCUUCUCCCAGGCUCCUGCAGCCACCUCGGGACUAGGUUUCUAACGGCGCCUGCGGGGGGGCCUCGCGGAGCUGGAUGUGGAAAAGGCGAGCGCGGGGGAACUGUGCUGUAAAAACUCGCCCUGCCUCCACAGAAAGCCCCGAAGCGCCGGCGUUUGUCUGUUAGGCAGGCUGACAUUAAGCGCCUACUGUGUGCUGGGCCCUACUUAAGACCCGGGGGGGAGAACAGCGUCUGUCCGGGAGCUGCACGCGAGGACCCGGUGGUCCCUGACCUGCCCUCUCCAGCGGGGACCUGCACUUUCUGUCACCAAAGAGGAUUCUCUGUAGGGAGGCCAGGAUGAUUCUCCAGAAUUUACCGUGCCUUGAGAUGAAAUUUCCUUUCAAGCUUCCUUGUGUCCUUUUGUCCUCAUUCCAUGUUCACCAAUCUUCUGAUUGUUUCCUUUUCCAGAAAGGAGAAUCUGAAUAACAUGUAUAUUUUAACCUUGCCUGCAAUUGUAAAUCAAUAAAUUGGUGUAUUUA